rnacentral:lncRNA from 1 species
AUGGAAACCUUAACAUUAUUUUUGUUUUUCGGGACCAGAUAACAGAAGAUAACCCGUAUCAGAAACGAGAAAAGUCUUCAGCUGUUCGAGAGGCCCUAAGACUAGAUCCAAAGCGUGUGCGCACAGAAGAAAUGUUUGCAGCCAGCUUCCCAGAUAUUAAAGGGCAUCAAAACCACCCCAUUUUUGGAAAGGAAUCAAGAGACAUUUGGAACAUCAUAAAAAAGGUCAAGGCAGGAAACAGGAAGUCCAGUGCAGACCAUCAUAAUCUACAGGCCUUGGUAAACACAUGGAAAGAAGAGGGCUGUGCCAUUGAGUACAGACCCUCUCAGGAGAAGGAGGAUGGUAGCGUGGUGAAGAUGCUGCUGUGCUUGCAGACGCUUACUGGAUGAAUCCUAUCGAGCUGGCAGAAAUUCACUACCACUCUUCUUUCUGUGGGUGAGGACAAAUGUGAGCUACGCCGCUGUUGGAGUGUUUGUCACUCAGACAGAGACUAAAGAGGACAUCGCAGAAGCCUUGAAGGUGUUUCAGAAGUGGAAUUCAGACUGGAAUCCAUCACACUUCAUGGUGGACUUCUGUGAGGCAGAAAUCAGUGCUUUAGAGGAGGUGUUUAAGGGUAUGUUUAGUAGUGUGUAAAUGUAUAUUUUAUUUGGACUAGAUGAUUUGGCAUGACAAAUUUAAUAGCAGCACUGCUAGAAUACAUUUAUACAAAAGCAC